ensembl:snoRNA U3 Small nucleolar RNA U3
AAGACUAUACUUUCAAGGAUCAUUUCUAUAGUAUGUUACUAUGGAAGUUUCUCUGAAGGUGUAGAGCACCAAAGGAUACAAAACUGAGCAGUUUCAAAUUUAGCUGCUUUGA